rnacentral:rRNA from 1 species
AAGCACCCCGGAAGGGGAGUGAAAUAGAACCUGAAACCGUGUGCCUACAACAAGUCAAAGCCCGUUAAUGGGUGAUGGCGUGCCUUUUGUAGAAUGAACCGGCGAGUUACGAUUGCAUGCGAGGUUAAGUUGAAGAGACGGAGCCGCAGCGAAAGCGAGUCUGAAUAGGGCGUUUGAGUAUGUAGUCGUAGACCCGAAACCAUGUGAUCUACCCAUGUCCAGGUUGAAGGUGCGGUAAAACGCACUGGAGGACCGAACCCACGUACGUUGAAAAGUGCGGGGAUGAGGUGUGGGUAGCGGAGAAAUUCCAAACGAACUUGGAGAUAGCUGGUUCUCUCCGAAAUAGCUUUAGGGCUAGCCUCGGAAUUGAGAAUGAUGGAGGUAGAGCACUGUUUGGACUAGGGGCCCAUCUCGGGUUACCGAAUUCAGAUAAACUCCGAAUGCCAUUCAUUCAUAUCCGGGAGUCAGACUGUGAGUGAUAAGAUCCAUAGUCGAAAGGGAAACAGCCCAGACCACCAGCUAAGGUCCCAAAAUAUAUGUUAAGUGGAAAAGGAUGUGGGGUUGCACAGACAACUAGG